rnacentral:rRNA from 1 species
GAUGAACGCUAGCGGCAGGCUUAAUACAUGCAAGUCGAGGGGCAACAUGGUGUAGCAAUACACUGAUGGCGACCGGCAAACGGGUGCGGAACACGUACAGAACCUUCCUUCGAGCGGGGAAUAGCCCAGAGAAAUUUGGAUUAAUACCCCAUAGUAUGAUGAAGAGGCAUCUCUUUAUUAUUCAAGUUUUAUCACUUGAAGAUGGCUGUGCGGCUGAUUAGGUAGUUGCCGGGGUAACGGACCACCAAGCCUACGAUCAGUAACUGGUGUGAGAGCACGACCACUCACACGGGCACUGAGACACGGGCCCGACUCCUACGGGAGGCAGCAGUAAGGAAUAUUGGUCAAUGGACGAAAGUCUGAACCAGCCAUGCCGCGUGGAGGAUGAAGGUCCUCUGGAUUGUAAACUUCUUUUAUAUGGGACGAAAAAAGACUUUUCUAAGUCGUCUGACGGUACCAUAUGAAUAAGCACCGGCUAACUCCGUGCCAGCCGCCGCCGUAACAC